rnacentral:rRNA from 1 species
UACGAAGGGGGCUAGCGUUGCUCGGAAUCACUGGGCGUAAAGCGCACGUAGGCGGAUCUUUAAGUCAGGGGUGAAAUCCUGGAGCUCAACUCCAGAACUGCCUUUGAUACUGGGGAUCUCGAGUCCGGAAGAGGUGAGUGGAACUCCGAGUGUAGAGGUGAAAUUCGUAGAUAUUCGGAAGAACACCAGUGGCGAAGGCGGCUCACUGGUCCGGUACUGACGCUGAGGUGCGAAAGCGUGGGGAGUAAACAGG